AUUGAACGCUGGCGGCAGGCCUAACACAUGCAAGUCGAGCGGAUGAAGGGAGCUUGCUCCUGGAUUCAGCGGCGGACGGGUGAGUAAUGCCUAGGAAUCUGCCUGGUAGUGGGGGAUAACGUCCGGAAACGGGCGCUAAUACCGCAUACGUCCUGAGGGAGAAAGUGGGGGAUCUUCGGACCUCACGCUAUCAGAUGAGCCUAGGUCGGAUUAGCUAGUUGGUGGGGUAAAGGCCUACCAAGGCGACGAUCCGUAACUGGUCUGAGAGGAUGAUCAGGCACACUGGAACUGAGACACGGUCCAGACUCCUACGGGAGGAAGCAGUGGGGAAUAUUGGACAAUGGGCGAAAGCCUGAUCCAGCCAUGCCGCGUGUGUGAAGAAGGUCUUCGGAUUGUAAAGCACUUUAAGUUGGGAGGAAGGGCAGUAAGUUAAUACCUUGCUGUUUUGACAUUACCAACAGAAUAAGCACCGGCUAACUUCGUG
rnacentral:rRNA from 1 species